rnacentral:lncRNA from 1 species
UAACCAUCAUAAUUAAGUACACUAUUUUCCCCUAUUUUCAAUAACAUCUUAAGUCUUUUCAUAGAUAUCCUACUUGUUGCGAAAUGGAAACUAAAUCCUUUAUGACCAUCUUCCUUAUCUUUUGCCUUGUUCUUUCUCCAACAUUACCAUGUGAUGCUGCUCGCUUCAAUCAAAGAGGUAAGCUGUUUUCUUCAGUUCAUUAAAACUUCUAAAGACAUGGGCUAUGGUUUGUUGUUUAAAUCAUGCAUGUCAUGCAAACCUUUUUUUUUAUUAAGAAAUUACAUGAAUAAUUCACUGUUGUUGUUUUUACAAUUGUGUUUUCGCAGAGCUUCUUCAGGGUCGUCCCAUAUGUCCUACUUGUGUGUGUUGCCCAGGCGAAAUAUACGUUCCAGACAAGGAAUGUUGUCCCUGUUGCCCUGUAUUCCCACCACCAAUUGUAACUCAAACAACUUCUCCAUGAUGUGUGCUGCCACAAUUCUAGAAGUAUAUAAAUAAAAAGUGCAGACCUUGUAUAUCAUCUAAAUUUUACAUAUCAAAUUUUGAUGUGCCUGCUCUAGUUGCCUUUUCUUUUUCUUGUAUGUGCCCUUUCAAAUUAAUAUCCAC